rnacentral:rRNA from 1 species
UACGUAGGGUGCAAGCGUUAAUCGGAAUUACUGGGCGUAAAGCGUGCGCAGGCGGUUAUAUAAGACAGUUGUGAAAUCCCCGGGCUCAACCCUGGGAACUGCAUUUGUGACUGCAUCGCUGGAGUGCGGCAGAGGGGGAUGGAAUUCCGCGUGUAGCAGUGAAAUGCGUAGAUAUGCGGAGGAACACCGAUGGCGAAGGCAAUCCCCUGGGCCUGCACUGACGCUCAUGCACGAAAGCGUGGGGAGCAACAGG